rnacentral:rRNA from 1 species
UGCUUGUCUCAAAGAUUAAGCCAUGCAUGUAUAAGUAUAAACGCUUUAAGCGUGAAACUGCGUACGGCUCAUUACAACAGCAAUAAUUUACUUGAUCUUGACAACCUACAUGGAUAACUGUGGUAAUUCUAGAGCUAAUACAUGCACCAAAGCUCCGACCCGCGAGGGGAGAGCGCAUUUAUUAGAACAAAACCAAGCGGCUUCGGCCGUCCAUUGUUGACUCAGAAUAACUAAGCUGAUCGUACGGUCUUGUACCGACGACGUGUCUUUCAAGUUUCUGCCUUAUCAACUUUCGAUGGUAGUGUAUCUGACUACCAUGGUGGUGACGGGUAACGGAGGAUAAGGGUUCGACUCCGGAGAAGGGGCCUGAGAAAUGGCCACUACGUCUAAGGAUGGCAGCAGGCGCGCAAAUUACCCACUCUCAAUGCGAGGAGGUAGUGACGAGAAAUAACGAGGCCGUUCUCUUUGAGGCCGGUCAUCGGAAUGGGUACAAUUUAAACCCUUUAACGAGUAUCUAUGAGAGGGCAAGUCUGGUGCCAGCAGCCGCGGUAAUUCCAGCUCUCAAAAUGCAUAGAAUUAUUGCUGCGGUUAAAAAGCUCGUAGUUGGAUCUGUGCCUGUGCUCCGGUCCACCUCGCGGUGCGCACUGGGUGUCACAGGCUUUCCUGCAGUGUUCAGCCCCGGCGCCUUCACCGGCACCGGUGUGUUGAUGCUGCAAGUUUACUUUGAACAAAUCGGAGUGCUCCAAACAGGCGUUUGCUUGAACGUUCGUGCAUGGAAUAAUAGAAGAGGAUUUCGGUUCAAUUUUAUUGGUUUUAUUGGCCGAGAUAAUGGUUAACAGAGACAAACGGGGGCAUUUGUAUUGCUGCGUGAGAGGUGAAAUUCUUGGACCGUAGCAAGACAAACUACCGCGAAAGCAUUUGCCAAGAAUGUCUUCAUUAAUCAAGAACGAAAGUCAGAGGUUCGAAGGCGAUCAGAUACCGCCCUAGUUCUGACCGUAAACGAUGCCAACUAGCGAUCUGCCGAUGGAACACCAUUGCCAUGGUAGGGAGCUUCCCGGAAACGAAAGUCUUCCGGUUCCGGGGGAAGUAUGGUUGCAAAGCUGAAACUUAAAGGAAUUGACGGAAGGGCACCACCAGGAGUGGAGCCUGCGGCUUAAUUUGACUCAACACGGGGAAACUCACCCGGCCCGGACACCGUAAGGAUUGACAGAUUGAUAGCUUUUUCAUGAUUCGGUGGAUGGUGGUGCAUGGCCGUUCUUAGUUCGUGGAGCGAUUUGUCUGGUUUAUUCCGAUAACGAGCGAGACUCUGGCCUACUAAAUAGUCCGCACAUUGCCUCUGUGCGCAGGACUUCUUAGAGGGAUUUUCGGUGUUCAGCCGCACGAAAUUGAGCAAUAACAGGUCUGUGAUGCCCUUAGAUGUCCGGGGCUGCACGCGCGCUACACUGGCAAAAUCAGCGUGCUUGUCCUUCCCCGAAAGGGGUUGGUAAACCCUUGAAAAUUUGCCGUGAUUGGGAUCGGAAAUUGCAAUUAUUUUCCGUGAACGAGGAAUUCCAAGUAAGUGCGAGUCAUCAACUCGCGUUGAUUACGUCCCUGCCCUUUGUACACACCGCCCGUCGCUGCCCGGGACUGAGCCAUUUCGAGAAACUUGGGGACUGCUGGCUUGGUCGGGCUUCGGCUCGCCUCGUUGGUGGAAACCAAUUUAAUCGCAGUGGCUUGAACCGGGCAAAAGUCGUAACAAGGUAGCUGUAGGUGAACCUGCAG